AACGCUAGCUACAGGCUUAACACAUGCAAGUCGAGGGGCAGCACAGUGUAGCAAUACACGGGUGGCGACCGGCGCACGGGUGCGUAACGCGUAUCCAACCUUCCCGUUACUCUUGGAUAGCCUUCCGAAAGGGAGAUUAAUACAAGAUGGUAUUCAAAUUCCGCAUGUUAUUUGAAUUAAAGAUUUAUCGGUAUCGGAUGGGGAUGCGUGACAUUAGAUAGUAGGCGGGGUAACGGCCCACCUAGUCUACGAUGUCUAGGGGUUCUGAGAGGAAGGUCCCCCACACUGGAACUGAGACACGGUCCAGACUCCUACGGGAGGCAGCAGUGAGGAAUAUUGGUCAAUGGUCGGAAGACUGAACCAGCCAAGUAGCGUGAAGGAUGAAGGUUCUAUGGAUUGUAAACUUCUUUUAUGCGGGAAUAAAACCACCUACGUGUAGGUGCUUGUAUGUACCGUAUGAAUAAGCAUCGGCUAACUCCGUGCCAGCAGCCGCGGUAAUACGGAGGAUGCGAGCGUUAUCCGGGUUUAUUGGGUUUAAAGGGAGCGUAGACGGGGGAUUAAGUCAGUUGUGAAAGGCUGCGGCUCAACCGCAGCACUGCAGUUGAUACUGGUUUCCUUGAGUGCGGUUGAGGUGUAUGGAAUUCGUGGUGUAGCGGUGAAAUGCUUAGAUAUCACGAAGAACUCCGAUUG
rnacentral:rRNA from 1 species